rnacentral:rRNA from 1 species
AACAGGAUUAGAUACCCUGGUAGUCCACGCCGUAAACGAUGAGUGCUAGGUGUUGGAGGGUUUCCGCCCUUCAGUGCCGGAGCUAACGCAUUAAGCACUCCGCCUGGGGAGUACGACCGCAAGGUUGAAACUCAAAGGAAUUGACGGGGGCCCGCACAAGCGGUGGAGCAUGUGGUUUAAUUCGAAGCUACGCGAAGAACCUUACCAGGUCUUGACAUCUUGCGCCAACCCUAGAGAUAGGGCGUUUCCUUCGGGAACGCAAUGACAGGUGGUGCAUGGUCGUCGUCAGCUCGUGUCGUGAGACGUUGGGUUAAGUCCCGCAACGAGCGCAACCCUUGUUACUAGUUGCCAGCAUUAAGUUGGGCACUCUAGUGAGACUGCCGGUGACAAACCGGAGGAAGGUGGGGACGACGUCAGAUCAUCAUGCCCCUUAUGACCUGGGCUACACACGUGCUACAAUGGACGGUACAACGAGUCGCGAACUCGCGAGGGCAAGCAAAUCUCUUAAAACCGUUCUCAGUUCGGACUGCAGGCUGCAACUCGCCUGCACGAAGUCGGAAUCGCUAGUAAUCGCGGAUCAGCAUGCCGCGGUGAAUACGUUCCCGGGCCUUGUACACACCGCCCGUCACACCAUGAGAGUUUGUAACUCCCAAAGUCGGUGGGGUAACCUUUUAGGAGCCAGCCGCCUAAGGUGGGACAGAUGAUUAGGGUGAAGUCGUAACAAGGUAACC